AUUGAACGCUGGCGGCAGGCCUAACACAUGCAAGUCGAGCGGAUGAGGGGAGCUUGCUCCCUGAUUUAGCGGCGGACGGGUGAGUAAUGCCUAGGAAUCUGCCUGGUAGUGGGGGAUAACGUUCCGAAAGGAACGCUAAUACCGCAUACGUCCUACGGGAGAAAGCAGGGGACCUUCGGGCCUUGCGCUAUCAGAUGAGCCUAGGUCGGAUUAGCUAGUUGGUGAGGUAAUGGCUCACCAAGGCGACGAUCCGUAACUGGUCUGAGAGGAUGAUCAGUCACACUGGAACUGAGACACGGUCCAGACUCCUACGGGAGGCAGCAGUGGGGAAUAUUGGACAAUGGGCGAAAACCUGAUCCAGCCAUGCCGCGUGUGUGAAGAAGGUCUUCGGAUUGUAAAGCACUUUAAGUUGGGAGGAAGGGCUGCUGGUUAAUACCCUGCAGUUUUGACGUUACCAACAGAAUAAGCACCGGCUAACUUCGUG
rnacentral:rRNA from 1 species